AGUGCCCCGGUCCGCGCGCCUCCUGGCCGCCGCCCCGCAGACCUCCCCGCGCGGGGCUCGGGCCCCGGGCGCCGCCCGUUGUUGGCUUAGAGCCCAAGUCGCGUUUCCCGCUGCCCCUUCUCCCGGCUUCUCUCUUCCGUGCUGGCCGCCUGCGGUGUCUCUAUUCUUCCUGGGCCCUGCCUGGCACAAGAGGUAUUGCUUAAGAAGGAGGCUCAUUGAAUGGAUGUUCAGGAGACAUUCCCAGGUUCUGGGAUUAGAACCAGGAUUUCUGAGGAUCAUUCUUCAGUCUACCAUAUCAUGAAUUAAGCAGAGUCAGAUGGAGGUUGGAGCUAAGAGGAACCUCAUUUUCCACUGACCCAGUCUUCUUACUAUAGACACAGUUACAUCCAAUGUUUGCCUGAGAAUAUUCCAGAGGGCAGAUACCUGAAUCAUCAUGCAGCCAAUGCAGGCCAGAAGGACGGAUAAUAGUGAAACGGCACUGGACUGGGCCUCUGGGUCGAGUUCCCUUCUCGGUUAUGCCAACAAGGCUAUUAUACUCUGUACUCUCAAUGAGAGCGGUACUCUCUGGGCCUGAUUUUGCCCCCAGAAAAAUGAGGUGCAAACAGAAAAGAUAUUAAUGUUGGAUGGUUUAGACUUUAUUCCGGAUUUUAAUUACUUCAUUUGCAUUGAACUUUAUAAAUACUUGGAAAGCAGCAUGCCAUCCAUCCUCACUGGGUCCACAAAACUGCCAUGUGAAGAUCGCCAAGAAGCCACCAGACCGCUUUGCCUGGCACUCCUUUUAUCUUUCUGGCCUGAGGGGGCCAUGGGCUAAUGAUCAGUGAAAUCAGGAAAGGCCAAGAGGCCCAGCUAAUCCACAAAUUGGAUCAUCCACCCCUGAAUAAUCAAGAGUUGCUGGCACAAAAGUUGGUUUCUCUCUUUGAUCAUCAGCACACUCAAAACACACCUACAUUUGCUUCUUGUGGGAGCCCUCUGACUUAGCUGUGGCCUGGGCCCUGGAAACAAAUCUGUUCAUCAUAAGGGAGAUUUGAGGAAGGAGCUAAUCAACAUGAUGCUCAUCAUCUAUAAGGAUACUGGAAGAUUCCUCUGAAGAAUUCAAUGUACUCCGUCAGUUGAAGCCUUGGCUGCUUAGAAGGGAGCUGCCCUUGUGUGCCAGUCACAUCCAGUAAAUAAUUAUUUAAAACUCACUAUUGUGCUACCACUAUUCUGGGUUCUGGAGACUCAGUAGAACAUUCACAUGCUCUCUCCAUAGAGCUUAUGGUCAACACAGGGAGGCAGCAUGAGGUGGAGGAUUACAUAGUGGUUGUUCUUAGGGCUACAAAGAGGAAGCCUAGUAACGUAUGGAGUGUGCAGAACAGGAGGUUUUGGGGAGGGUUCCCUAAGGAAGUGUUGUUUUAUGCCAAAUCUCAAUACAAGUGGGGACUAGCCAGGUGAAGGGCUGGGGGUGGGGAUUGUACCAAGAAUAGUAAAUGGUCGGUGUGGGAAGACCCUGAGGAGGGAAGCAAAGGGAGCAAGCAAAAGAAUAGUGUAAAAUUGGCUGGACCCUAUGACCUGACCAUUGUCCUCCUGGGAAAAUACCUCACAGGAAGACGUACAUUUGUGCAUUUGUACACAUGUACUCAAAUGUUCAUAAUAGCAAUGUUGGUAAUAUCUCCAAACUGGAAACUACCCAAGUGCACAUCAACACAAAGAUGGAUAAAUAAAUUGUGGCCCAUUCACAUUGGAUUGUUUUAUUCAGCAAUUAGAAUGAAUGAACUGCCUCUAUGCCCAGCAGUACACUGGAGUCUCGCAAACGUAAGGAUAAGUGAGCGAAAUCAGACACAGACAGGUACACUUACACAAAUGUGCAUAUAGAAGAUGCCAAAGCUGAGCUGUGGUUCUCCUUUGGAGAGUUAAUGACUAGAAGCCUGUAAUGAGGGGCUACUAGGGUGCUAGCCAUAAGCUGUUUCAUGAUUGGGAGGCUGGUUACAUGGGUGUGUUCAGUUUGGGAAAAUUCAUUAAACUACAUGCUUAAAAUGUACACCCUUUAAUUUGUAUCUGUUAUACUUUAAUAAAAAAAUUGGUACAAUAUGAGGCUAGACAGAUACGCAGAGACAUUAUAGGUCUGGGCUAGGUUUUGAGCUCCACCCUGCUUAUGCUCCUUACCUGGAACCUGGAGCCAGCUACUCUGUCCACGUUUCUACCUUUGAUGGCCUAAGUAUAUGUCUCAAGUCCCACCUUGCAAGCUGGCCCCAUCCCCCCUGCCUGGCUCUGCAUUGGCUCCCACCUGCCACAUGCUGCCCAGCUCACACCCCCGACUGCAGACCCCUCCCUCCAUCCCCUUGUCUCAUCUACUCCCUGUUGAUAUGAUAGCAGGUGUCACGCCCCUCCCCUGAGGCUAAAUGGGUGGCAUCACUGGGAAAUGAAGGGGAAAUAGAUAUUUGCUUCUACCUGAGUUAUUUGGUGCAACCCCUAAAAUACCACAGAAGAUCUCUUACUUAUGGUUGUACUCAGAAUGUUUUUAAAGUUUAUUGAUUUGGGCAAAUCUUGACAUCUCUUUGCAUCAGAAGCCUUGCUUAAGGUUUCUUGUUAGGUGACAAAUAAUAGCCCAAUAUUGUCUAAGCUCCUUUUGCUUGGCUACUCUGUCACCUGCCACUGCAUGUGGGAUCUGUGUACACACUGCAGCCACUUCCCACUGGGUCCUCUCUCUCCUGACGCAAAGGGUGUUACAGUCGUAGGAGCAUGGAGAGGAGUCUGGACUGAGAGGCGAGCCGACCUGAAGCACAGUGUCAGACUUUUCAAGAUGGAAACAAGCAAGCAAAAACCAAAACCAAACCAAACAAAAAUCCAAAUAAAUAAAUUGCCAAAUGAAGAGAUAUAAGUUGAUUUAGGUGACUGUGGCAGUUUAAGACCUCAAGACUUCAAUUCCUCUAAAUGUUAAUUUUCUGGGUCCUGCCAGUUUAGGACUUCUUACAUUUCAAUCACCUGCUUCCUACCUUCUUGAUUUUUGUCCUAUUUUCUCGUCACCUGAACUGCUUGAAGUAUUUUGUAUCUGAAUUGAAUCAUCCCCCUUCUUUAAAAAAAAGAACUUAAAUUUAUUCAUCAGGAAGCUUCACAUCAUUGCUCUAAAUGAAACAUUGGAAUCACACCUUAAAAAGUCACUAAAAAUGGGUGAAUGUAAACAAAACAAUUUACUAAAUUCUGGCUAACUCCUAGCCAGUGUGGAAGGCAAAAGGGAAAUCAACAAAUGCUAGACACCCCCUUAAUGUUAUCAGAAGGGUAGGUGAGUACUCAAAAGGGACUCCCUUUCUCACCAUGCAAGCCAAAGUGGGUUUAUACCUUGCCUACCACUAUCUAUAAUCUACAAUCAUUCUGCAAACCCUGGAGGAGAUACUGUCCCCCGCCUUGGGAAACGGUGGCCCAGUGAUCCCUAAGGACGCGGCUAAAAGAAUGAGGGAAACAGAGAAAUGGUGAAGGGGGUAUACAGAAAUCACUCCUUUCAGCAAAUGGAAAAAACAUGACACCAAUACUCGGCUUUGCAAGUAUCAACUGGUCCCCUGUCCCUGUGCUUCUCAUUGUUUGAAUGGGAACAGCAACACAAAGCUAUCCACACAGCAAGGAUGAAAAGAGAAAGGGGUUGAUGGCUUGAGCACCUCAUCAUGCUGCUUGAGGGCCUGCUUGUCCCGAGCCUGGUCCUAGCUCUUCCCUCGCCACCCCCCGAGUCCAGCCCCAUCAAGACUCAGAAAGAGCCUAGAAGUCCUUCCUCUGAGUGUGGGGCCUGCUUCCUGCAGCCUUGUCCUGUCCUUAAAUCAAAACCAGACUUCCUCGGAUCUUUGUAUUUUGCAUGUUGGCUAGAUGGUAGGAUCUUUUUGGGGGUACUGUUCCCAAUCUGUAUGGGAGUGAGUUGUGAAUGAUGAAUACCGUAGAUCAUCUUGUUUGGGAAUGGCACCUUAAUAUGCUGAAAGUAAUAUGAAGCCAUAUAUCUUUCCAGAUGAAUAUAUCUAAGUCCUGAAACAGCUUAAUAGGGAGUCCCCUACCCCCUUCAGUUAUUGUUGAGGCUUAUCAAAUGGAGCUCACCAAAAGGCAUUAUGGCUUCUUGACCAAAACGAAAAUUUCCUGUCUCUGAUUUCCUGUAAUUUCAAAGUUAUUUCCCUUCUGUCCUGUAACCUGCCAAUCCAAAUACCCAAAGCAAAGGAGGCCCUAUAUGAGGCCCUAUACCUUCCUUGGCUUCUUUUAUAGCCUUAUAAUAAAUAAUUAAUAUCUUACUUUUUUAUGGUAUUGUUUUACUUUCAGAAAGGAUCACAGGACACUGUGCUUUCCAUGGGCCUCUAUGGAUGCUCCUGUAGUUCUCAAAGAAGCUAACAUUAUCAGUCAUUUUAAAUUUUAAUUAAGAUAUUCAGAAAGAAUAAAAAGCCUGUAAAAUACUCUGGGUAGUUUAUGACUAAUAUUUCUUUAAGCAGGUACUUAUUUUUCCUUCUGUAUGAACUGGGCGUCUAUGAGCUUGCUUCUGAAGCGUAUGAUAAUACUCGUGUUGCCUACUCAGCUUUAGGUGACUUCCAGUUUCUUAAGUCAUCAUAGAAGACCAUGUCUACUUUAUUCUUAAAAAUUUUACUCUUGCUUCUCAAACUUCUAGAAAAAAAGAGAUGAUGUCUGUUCCUUUUCUCUUUGUUUCAACCAUUGCCUAAGUCAGCAUUUUCAAGAUGUCUUAUGCAGAAGACUAGUCUUAGGACAUUCCAAUGUCAAAAUACUUUGGGAGAUGACACAUACCCUAUCUUACUCUUGGAGAGUCCCCAUACAUAUUAGGCUUUUCAAGGCUCUGAGAAUCCUGGGGAGUUGAGAAAAUUGUUUAACUUUGUGUAACUAUAUUUUGCCAAACUCACAUUAUCGCUUGAGUGUGGGUUGAGCAAGGUGUUCUCUAGCUAUCUCUAGAACUGAAUUUAGAUAAAAGGUGUGUGUCUAAAGGGAAGGUAGUAGUUUUAAAAUAUGGCCUUGAAUUCUUUGACAAUCCGUCCUUCAAGAGUUUGAGGUGGGGGGGUCUGUGGCCACUCCCUUUGACUCUGGGUGGGGCUGUGAAGGGUUCCAAUGAUGGAUUAACACAGAAGUGUGCUUUGUGUCUAGUUAUACAUGUUUCUGUAACUUCUACUGUGUCACAUUUGGAGUGCUAAGCCACUAUUAAGGUGUCUAACUAUCCUGACACUACUAUGAUGAGGAGGCUGUGUGUAGGUGUACUGAUCAACAGCUAAGCCCAGCUGUCCAGCCAUCCCUACAAGGUACCAGCACAUAAGUCAAGUCAUCUUGGAUCCGCCAAGCCCAGCCUCUGUAUCAGCUGAAUACCACCAAGGGACCUCUUUUGUAUAAAAGGAUCACCCAGGUGAGCUCAGCUUGAAUUCUUAGGCCACAAAAUCAUGAGAUUUAAACCUCUGGGGUUUAGGUGAGCUUGUUACAUAGCAAGAGAUAAUCAGGACAGGGAUAGUUGAGCUUUUUAGGUUUGGAAGAGAAAUCUGAGUGUCUUCUCUGAUUCAUUCUAAAGCUAGAAAGGCCAGAGAUCCACCAGUUUCUCCAUUUAGGUUCUUCCCCCUGUACAUGUGACCCCAAGAAUAUGUUCAUUGAGAGAGAACUCCUCCUUUGGCCAGCUCUAGGACCUUCCUAAUAAUUGCGCUCUCAGGCUGCACUACCAGUAAACCAGACACAAAUCAUUGGACACUAGACUUUGACGUUUAAAAGAUGGGAAACAGAGGGGAAAACAUGCCAUUCCCUUACACUCCUCACAGGCUCAUACUAAAAUGGCUGAUGCUUAUGUGCAAACACUCUCAUCCAAUUAGUCAUUAGAGCCUGACAGUGCCACCUCCUAAAUAUAUUAUUAAGCCAAUAAACCCUCUCAAUCACUGCUUUAGCUCAGGCACUCAUCAUCUCUCUCUUACAUAACAUUUGCCUUCUGACUCAUCAUCCUUAUUCCAAUUUCUCCCCAACCAUAGCCUGAGGGGUUUUUCUAAGGCAUAAAUCCGACAUAUCAGUCUCCAGAAUAAGACCCUUCCUGUUGCACACAGGAGAGAGUCCAAAUUCAACAGUAUUGCUAUAUUAGUUAUAGUCCACUGAGGAAAAAAGAAACUAUUCUAGGCUUCUAAAUAGUUGGGACUUCGAGAAGGAAUUGGUUCUACAGCUAGUGGAAGAGCACAGAAAGAAAAGAGGAGAUGGGAGCUAGAAGCAGAAACUGAGGCCACUGUAAGGGGCAGGAGGGGGAGUUCAGCCAUGGGGACCACAGAGCUGAUGCUGGAGAGGCCACUCAGUGCACAGCGAGAGAGAAACAGCCUGGCCUCUGUCCUGCUUCCACUACCCACCCCCUACUGUUUUCUACUUGUGCUUCCCACUGUUGAAACUUCCAGAAAGCCAGUCAGUGAAGGAUCCCACUCUGGUUCCCAGCAGAGCCGAGGAGGGGUGGAGGUGACUAGCUCAGUGACACGUGAGACCUUUGUGGUCCAAACCUAUGCACAUCUCCAUUCUCCUGCUUCAGCAUUUCCUCAACUUCUCCUUCCCCCUCCCCCUGCCCUGCCCCCCUGCUAUACUGAACCACCAUUUCUCUCUUUCCAGGCAGGGGAAUUGGCUCUUGCUGUUCUUUCCACUUCUAAUAUCCUCCACUCAAGCUUUCAAGCCCACUCACUAUCUUCCAUGUUCAAGUCAAUCACUUCUUUAUGAGUUCUACCCCUGCCUUCUGCUUCAUUAAUACAGUAUUCAUCUAUCAUGUUAUUAGUGAGGCAGAAGAUUUCUUAUUUGUGUUUGCCCCUUUCUCUCUCUUAUAAUACAAAAGCCCCUGAUUUUCUCUUAGGAGCCACCUCUCCUAGUCUACAUGAUGCUAGAGAGGCUUUCAGUUACAUGGAUUUGUGACCUUGUUUUUGAGAUUGAUGUAAGACGCAGGUUGAACAACAGGAGUAGCUCAUCUCAGUGACCGGGCGAUGGUGGAGACAUGAGUAAAUGGCCCAUCAGACUUCUUAGAGACUGAUGUGGAUGGUAGAAGGCAGAGUCACAAUCUUUAAUGAUACACACAAUGCAAGAAGAGCUUCAGAUGCUCCUCUUUGCUACCUCUUGGAAAAAAACUUGCCUGAGGAUCAAACCAAAAAAGAACAAAGCCGGACCACGUGAGAAAGAGAGAGACUCCAGUUGCUGUUUGGGCACCUGGAUUUAGGUGUGCCUGAACAAGUUAACCCGUGCACUUCUCAAGUGCCUGAGUCAGCAGACAUCCCUCACAAUUCUUUACAAAAUUAAAGCAUCCCUCAUGUGCACUUAAAAAGAAGGUUUAUUCUCUGUUAUUGGAAUUCAGAAUUUUACAUAUAUCCCUAAGAGCACAUUACUGUGUUACUUAGAGCUUUGAUCCUUCCCAGAUAUUUGUCUAUUUGUGAUGGGCUAUGAAAAAUGUAUUACUGUUGUUUAUUAACUGUGCAUUUCUGUCUGUCUCUCCUUGCUUCACCUGCAGUUUCUGUUUUCUGCAAGUUGUUGCUGUUUUAUUGGAUACAUAGAUAUUACUAUGUGUUUAUUGUGAAU